AGCUCCAAUAGCGUAUAUUAAAGUUGUUGCAGUUAAAAAGCUCGUAGUUGGAUUCCUGGUUAGAGUGGCCGGUCUGGUCCGAAUGGGCUAGUACUUUGAGCUGUCUUUGACCUUCCUUUGGGAGAAACUGUGUUGUUAUUCAUUUAGCAGUGCAGGGGACCCCAAUCGUUUACUGUGAAAAAAUUAGAGUGUUUAAAGCAGGCAUUUGCUGUGAAUACAUUAGCAUGGAAUAAUAAGAUAGGACUUUGGUGCUAUUUUGUUGGUUUGCACACCAAGGUAAUGAUUAACAGGGACAGUUGGGGGUAUUCGUAUUUAAUUGUCAGAGGUGAAAUUCUUGGAUUUAUGAAAGACGAACUACUGCGAAAGCAUUUACCAAGGAUGUUUUCAUUAAUCAAGAACG
rnacentral:rRNA from 1 species